AAGUCGUAACAAGGUUUCCGUAGGUGAACCUGCGGAAGGAUCAUUACAACGUAUCCACGUACAAACUCACGAACUGUUCCCCUUUAGAGUAAACAACUUGUGGAUGAAGUUAAUGACUGACAGUUUCUUGCUGAUGGAGUUCUGGAUUUUCAUCUGGAACUGAGAGCUGUCUUUCGCUGGCAAGAGUCUUUUGGCUCUUGACGGGACUUCGUUUACUCUAUCGCGGUCUGCCGCCCAUCAGCGGUGUUAUUAUUAACCAACUUUAUUAACCCCAUGAAAAUUUUGAACUGAACUUGUAACUGAGCUGCUUGUUGCCCUUGUUGGCUUCGGUCACGGGCAGCGUUAAAAGCGCUCUCUUACUUUCUUUAUUAAAACAAAGAACAACUCUUAACAACGGAUAUCUUGGUUCUC
rnacentral:misc_RNA from 1 species